GACGAACGCUGGCGGCGCGCUUAACACAUGCAAGUCGAACGGAAAGGCCUGCUUUCCCUUGUUGAUUGCUUGUACUCGAGUGGCUAACGGGUGAGUAACACGUGAGUGAUUUGCCCCCAACUUGGUUAUAAGCCUGGGAGACUGGGUCUAAUUCCCGAUAGGACUGCAUGGUUGUGCCUGGGGUGGAAAACUUUCUUCUAGUGGUAGGUGAUGAGCUCGCGGCCUAUCAGCUUGUUGGUGCGGUAAUGGACUACAAAGGCGGGGACGGGUAGCCGGCCUGUGAGCGUCGACGGUCAAAUUGGGACUCAGUUAAGGCCCAGACUCGUACCAGAAGCAGGAGUGGGGAAGAUUGCACAAUGGGCGUGAGGCAGAUGCAGCGCGGCAGCGUGGGAGAUCAUGGGAUUUGGGUUGUAAACUACUUGCGAACGAGAGGAAGGCACCUGAUUGGAAGCGUGGUGACGGUAGUGGUAGAAGAAGCACCGGCUAACUACGUG
rnacentral:rRNA from 1 species